GAUGCCAAGCUUCACCCUCUCCCGCUGCCUCUAUCUCCCCUAAGGAGCAAAGGCCUUCAUUUGCUUGGGAAGCGCAUCUAAUCUGGCAGCCAGAGGGCGCAGUGGGAAUUCCUGCAGCCAUGAGAAGGUCUCAGCCAGGCGGCUGGCCAUCUCAGAGUGGAUUUUGGAUACAGUAGUUCUCCAGCGGUGAUAAGGCCAACAGCUGCCAGAGCUUUCCUUGAUCCGGAUAUAGGCUGAACAAAAUCUGUAACAAUCAGAAACGUUGAAUGACAGAGG
rnacentral:lncRNA from 10 species